AGGGAAAUCGUUUAAUUUCAUUUUUAAAUAAUCUGUAAAUAACAAGAACAACAUGUACAAUCACCGCGAGCACGAGAGAAUAGAAAGAUCCCAAAUGAACAACUGAACUGAUCGAGUCUGGUACGGAAACACCUGUUAUGUUACUGCUUUAAAAAGUUACUUUAUAUAUACCAUAUAAAGAGGGGGGGGGGCAUCAUCGAGCUCGGUCCAAUCACACGCUGAUUAUACAGUAACUAUGGCAACCAGCUCCAUCCCAUAAUGAAGUCAUGCAGGGGGGGAAAAUCACACGACUCCCCAGCAAACAAAAGAGCGCGGCACUGCUACAAACAAUAUCAAAACAAACAUUAUGGCCACACGUAAUUAGACAUAAAAAAUAAUUCAAUCAACACGCAUACAGAAGACGAUAAGAGCCCGGAUGAGCUCAUGUCCACGAUGAACUGACGACAGGAGUGAACAUGAGCUCCAACAAGAGCAGCAGAAAAACCAACGUUCUGCGAUCAGCGUUGAAUCGAGUAACGCAACACGACAAAGUGACAAUCGGACCGUCAUAAUCCACAAAGUGCUCCACACUGCACACUUCAUUAACAAAGCUGAAGACGACUUCAUAAGUGACUUUGACCAAGUCAUUUACGAACCUAACAAAGUCACGUAACAUUUGGAAUCCACUUUGUCAACAAACUUCGUAAAAUGAUGUCGUUAUAAUCAACAAAGUUGGCUUGGUUAGACUGACUUCUUAGCGACUUUUGCAAAUCAUUUUCAACAAAGUCAUUUAUGAACUCGAUGUUACACAACUAAGUUGUGCGCUACUAGGUUGACUUUGAAAAAGACUUCGUAUAAUCAACAAAGUUGACUUCAUUAGACUUGACUUCAGCAAUGUCAACUUCAACAAAGGCAUUUACGAACUUGAUCUUACACAACUAAAUUGUGCGAAAACCACUUUGCCGUGAAUCAUGAAUGUAACUUAGGUUGACUUCGCAAAUUACUUCGUCAAAAUCAACUUUGUUACAUCGGCUUCAUUAUACGAAUGCUGUCUAUGUUGCAAGUUCACAACUUUGUUGCAUAACUAAAAGUUGACUUCGUAAAUAACUGCUAUUGUCAACAAAGCUGUUUGCGUCACUUUUCAACGACAGUUGUAUUGUAGUAAAAACACCUUUUGUAACUAUGGUUAUCAUUGUAACUAGACACGAACUUCGUAACAUCAAUGUUGACUCUGUAACAUGACUUCGUAACCAGUGCAACAGUGUUGAUUACCGCCAUUUUGUCGCAUUGCGUCGUUCACUCUUGUGUAGACGAUGAACUAAUGACAAUCAAACAUUAGUGAAGAUGAAUAUAAAGUGAUUAGCAAUUGCGAAAAAUCAACAGAAUAAACCUUCGGCAUUUAUAAAGUAAAUAUUACUCUAGUCUACAUGACGGCAUCCGUACACAAACACCAUCGCUUACACACUCUCUCUCUCUCUCUCACACACACACACACAAUCUGUUUGUUCAGAUUGCUGUGAUAUGAGUGGGGUCUUCUUUGUUAUUAUUAUCGUUAUUAUUAUCAUAGGAUGCUAAUCACAAUAAGACAAACACCGUAAUGCUCAGGAGGGAGAUCUCAUUUGGUUUAAGUUGCUAUUUACAUAAUCCAGU